rnacentral:rRNA from 1 species
CAGCAGCCGCGGUAAGACAGAGGGGGCAAGCGUUGUCCGGAGUGACUGGGCGUACAGCGCGCGCAGGCGGUUGACGACGUGCCGUGUGACAGCUCCGAGCUCACCUGGGAGAGGCCACGGUAGACGCGUCGACUAGAGAUGUCGAGAGGGAUGUGGAAUACCCGGUGGAGCGGUGAAAUGCGUAGAGAUCGGGUGGAACACCAGGGGCGAAGGCGGCAUCCUGGCGACAAACUGACGCUGAGGCGCGAGAGCGUGGGGAGCAAACGGGAUUAGAUACCCCGGUAGUCCACGCCGUAAACGAUGUGGAGCCGGCGCUUGGCGGUGAUUGUGCCGUUGGGUGCCUGAGCUUACGCGAUGACUCCACCGCCUGGGGACUACGGCCGCAAGGCUAAAACUCAAAGGAAUUGACGG